rnacentral:rRNA from 1 species
CCUACGGUGGGCAGCAGUGGGGAAUAUUGCACAAUGGGGGAAACCCUGAUGCAGCGACGCCGCGUGAGUGAAGAAGUAAUUCGUUAUGUAAAGCUCUAUUAGCAGGGAAGAAAAUGACGGUACCUGAGUAAGAAGCCCCGGCUAACUACGUGCCAGCAGCCGCGGUAAUACGUAGGGGGCAAGCGUGAUACGGAUUUACGGGGGGUAAAGGGAGCGUAGACGGGAGUGCAAGUGUGGAGUGAAAGGCGGGGGCUCAACCCCCGGACGGCGCUUGAAACUGUAGGGAUGGAGUGGAGGAGAGGUACGUGGAAUUCGUGGUGUAGCGGUGAAAUGCGUAGAUAUUAGGAGGAACACCAGUGGCGAAGGCGGCUUACUGGACUGUAACUGACGUUGAGGCUCGAAAGCGUGGGGAGCAAACAGGAUUAGAUACCCUAGUAGUC